GACGAACGCUGGCGGCGUGCCUAAUACAUGCAAGUAGAACGCUGAAGGAGGAGCUUGCUUCUCUGGAUGAGUUGCGAACGGGUGAGUAACGCGUAGGUAACCUGCCUGGUAGCGGGGGAUAACUAUUGGAAACGAUAGCUAAUACCGCAUAAUAGUAAAUGUUGCAUGACAUUUGCUUAAAAGGUGCAAUUGCAUCACUACCAGAUGGACCUGCGUUGUAUUAGCUAGUUGGUGGGGUAACGGCUCACCAAGGCGACGAUACAUAGCCGACCUGAGAGGGUGAUCGGCCACACUGGGACUGAGACACGGCCCAGACUCCUACGGGAGGCAGCAGUAGGGAAUCUUCGGCAAUGGACGGAAGUCUGACCGAGCAACGCCGCGUGAGUGAAGAAGGUUUUCGGAUCGUAAAGCUCUGUUGUAAGAGAAGAACGAGUGUGAGAGUGGAAAGUUCACACUGUGACGGUAUCUUACCAGAAAGGGACGGCUAACUACGUGCCAGCAGCCGCGGUAAUACGUAGGUCCCGAGCGUUGUCCGGAUUUAUUGGGCGUAAAGCGAGCGCAGGCGGUUAGAUAAGUCUGAAGUUAAAGGCUGUGGCUUAACCAUAGUACGCUUUGGAAACUGUUUAACUUGAGUGCAAGAGGGGAGAGUGGAAUUCCAUGUGUAGCGGUGAAAUGCGUAGAUAUAUGGAGGAACACCGGUGGCGAAAGCGGCUCUCUGGCUUGUAACUGACGCUGAGGCUCGAAAGCGUGGGGAGCAAACAGG
rnacentral:rRNA from 1 species